GUCUGUAGGUUCUGGGAGACAAGGAAAAUAGCCAAGAGCAAAGGAUGCAAACAGGAAAAAGUAAAAAAUGUCAGAGAAACUCAUUAGACACUCCUGAUAGAGUGCUUCUAGAAUAGUGGGGGAGAAGACCAGCAGAUUAAUGACAAGCCUUGAAUGCUAGCCCAAGAAAUUGGGACCGUAGUUAAUGGAGAGUCAUGGAAACUUUGAGUGUAGAACAGUGACCUGAGAAACAUCUUAAAAUUCUAGAACUUAAUAAAACUGUUGUGGCUAUCUAAUUCACUCACUUUAUAGGCAUACACACAGACCAAAAGAGAUGACUCGAUUUAUUCAGGAUUACAUUGGUACAUGGGGAAUGCUAUGCUUUAGAACAAUGAAGAAUCUAGCUAUAGUCUGGAGGGUAGAUUGGAUAGGGAGACACUGGAAGCAAAGAGGCCCAUAAAGAAAAUGCCAAUGUCAUCAAUAAUCAAGCUAUGGAUGACAGAAUUUUACACCUAAGAAUUGUGAUAAUAAUGAUAUUAUUCAAAUAGGGAAGACCGAAAAAGCCAGCUAGAGGAAGAUGUAAUGCAUCUGAUGGAGGUGAUACAAGAGAGAGAACGUACGGUAACCAACUGAAGACAUUUAUCUGGGGUUCAGAAGAGAUGCUAAGCCUAAGAAGAAAUAGGUGGGGGUUAUUUGCAUAAAAGUGUUAUAUAAAUACCUCAAAGCCAAACAUGAAAA